AUUGAGAUGGCUAAAUUGGUCUAAUGUGCCAGAUUAAGGUUUUGGUCCCAAAGGGCGUGUGUUCAAAUCCCACUCUCAACA
rnacentral:tRNA from 1 species